GACAGAGGCCUCAAGCGUUAGGCGGAUUCACUGGGCUUAAAGCGUGUGUAGGCGGCUGCCUAAGUCCCUUGUGAAAUCCCACGGCUCAACCGUGGAACUGCUGGGUAUACUGGGCGUCUUGGGUCACCUAGGGGUUGCCGGAACAAAUGGUGGAGCGGUGAAAUGCGUAGAUAUCAUUUGGAACGCCAACGGCGAAAGCAGGCAACUGGGGGUGUACCGACGCUGAGACACGAAAGCCAGGGGAGCGAACGGG
rnacentral:rRNA from 1 species